GGCCAGGUAGCUCAGUUGGUUAGAGCGUUGUCCUGAUAUACCAAGGUUGCAGGUUCAGUCCUGGCCA
rfam:Myotis brandtii contig207143, whole genome shotgun sequence.